UGACCACUUUCUAAACGGUACUAUAACCUUAGAAAGUCAAGGCAUGCGGACAGCCGGGUCAAAUGCCGA
rnacentral:sRNA from 1 species